GUUUCAGUUAACAUUAGAAUCUGGUUCUGCCUAGAAUAGCGAAACAAAGCAAGAGUCUGUAGCCAAAGGAUUUCCUUGAUGAGGAAAUAAUUUUGAGAUGGAGGAACCAAGGUGGCUGGACUCCAGACAAUAUUCGAGUUCCAUUUCCAGCUUCCUUGGCAUCCGAUGAUGUUGCGGCUGUACUACAGUGAUGUCGGCUCAAAUUUACUACAGCGGCAGCCUAAUAUAUUUAUAGCGAAGGAUUGGUAAUAGUCCUUCUAAAUGAUAAUAUAGUAUCUGUUGAAGUGCUAGCUGCUCUUUCAGUUUAACAGUAGGAAGAAACCAGAGUAGCAUUGUACCUUGCCGACAAAAGAAGUACAAUGCACCGAACAUAGGUCUAAUCAUUACCUGAAAUGAAAUUUCAGCUCUAAAGCAAUGCGAUAAUAAUCUCUGAAGGAUUCAUUUAGCUUGAUACGAUAGUCAAAAGCACAUUAUACGUAUAUAUGUAUAUGCUACCUCUGUUUCGAAUCCUAUCUUUUUAUAUAUAUCCAGUAUUCUCCGU